AUCGCUUCUUGGCCUUUUGGCUGAGAUCAAGUGUGAAAUGAGUCUGGUAAGCACUGGUGUGUUGCGGUGAGCCUCGGGUUCUUGUUCACAUUCUGUUUUGUUACUUAUCUAUUUUGUUACUUACUGUGGAUAUGCUAGGGUCCAGAAGUUUUUCUUAAGAUCCUACAAUGACCCUCUACUUUUCCACAAGUAGAGAGAAGUGUCUAUGAACA
ensembl:snRNA U2 U2 spliceosomal RNA